UACGGAGGGGGCCAGCGUUGUUCGGAAUUACUGGGCAUAAAGAGCACGUAGGCGGCACCGCAAGCGUGGGGUGAAAUCCCACGGCUUACCCGUGGAACUGCCUGGCAGACUGCGGUGCUAGAGGUUGGUAGGGGAGAGCGGAACUCUUGGUGGAGCGGUGAAAUGCGUAGAUAUCAAGAGGAACACCGGUGGCGAAGGCGGUUCUCUGGGACGGUACUGACGCUGGAGACGCGAAAGCGUGGGGAGCGAACAGG
rnacentral:rRNA from 1 species